rnacentral:rRNA from 1 species
UGGGGAAUAUUGGACAAUGGGCGAAAGCCUGAUCCAGCCAUGCCGCGUGUGUGAAGAAGGUCUUCGGAUUGUAAAGCACUUUAAGUUGGGAGGAAGGGCAUUAACCUAAUACGUUAGUGUUUUGACGUUACCGACAGAAUAAGCACCGGCUAACUCUGUGCCAGCAGCCGCGGUAAUACAGAGGGUGCAAGCGUUAAUCGGAAUUACUGGGCGUAAAGCGCGCGUAGGUGGUUUGUUAAGUUGGAUGUGAAGUCCCCGGGCUCAACCUGGGAACUGCAUUCAAAACUGACUGACUAGAGUAUGGUAGAGGGUGGUGGAAUUUCCUGUGUAGCGGUGAAAUGCGUAGAUAUAGGAAGGAACACCAGUGGCGAAGGCGACCACCUGGACUAAUACUGACACUGAGGUGCGAAAGCGUGGGGAGCAAACA